AGAGUUUGAUCCUGGCUCAGGAUGAACGCCGGCGGUCUGCUUAACACAUGCAAGUCGAACGCAACCUUCGGGUUGAGUGGCGGACGGGUGAGUAACGCGUGAGAAUCUGCCUUAGGGUCGGGGACAACCACUGGAAACAGUGGCUAAUACCGGAUAAGCCGAUUGGUGAAAGAUUUAUUGCCCGAAGAGGAGCUCGCGUCUGAUUAGCUAGUUGGUGAGGUAAGAGCUCACCAAGGCAGCGAUCAGUAGCUGGUCUGAGAGGACGAUCAGCCACACUGGGACUGAGACACGGCCCAGACUCCUACGGGAGGCAGCAGUGGGGAAUUUUCCGCAAUGGGCGAAAGCCUGACGGAGCAAGACCGCGUGAGGGAGGAAGGCUCUUGGGUUGUAAACCUCUUUUCUCAGGGAAGAAGCUCUGACGGUACCUGAGGAAUCAGCCUCGGCUAACUCCGUGCCAGCAGCCGCGGUAAUACGGAGGAGGCAAGCGUUAUCCGGAAUUAUUGGGCGUAAAGCGUCCGCAGGUGGCGAUUCAAGUCUGCUGUCAAAGCACGGGGCUUAACUCCGUUAAGGCAGUGGAAACUGAAUAGCUAGAGUGCCGUAGGGGUAGAGGGAAUUCCCGGUGUAGCGGUGAAAUGCGUAGAGAUCGGGAAGAACAUCGGUGGCGAAAGCGCUCUACUGGACGGCAACUGACACU
rnacentral:rRNA from 1 species